UACGGGGGGGGCAAGCGUUGUUCGGAAUUACUGGGCGUAAAGGGCGCGUAGGCGGCCUGCUAAGUCGGACGUGAAAUCCCUCGGCUCAACCGAGGAACUGCGUCUGAUACUGGUGGGCUUGAAUCCGGGAGAGGGAUGUGGAAUUCCAGGUGUAGCGGUGAAAUGCGCAGAUAUCAGGAGGAACACCGGUGGCGAAGGCGGUUCUCUGGGCAUUACCUGACGCUGAGGAGCGAAAGUGUGGGGAGCGAACAGG
rnacentral:rRNA from 1 species